GGAGAAAAAAGAUCCAGAGUAUGUAAUGGCUUCUCAUUCUUCAUUUUGAUGUUUCUCCAAUGACUGUCAGAAACUCUAUAGACAUUAAAUUGGACUUUGGAACAGAUUUUAAGAACAAGGCAGAUGUAAAGGCUAUAUCAUGCUCUCAAAUUCUUCAUUACAGAAAGGUACAUUCAUGAGGUAUUUGUCAUUCUUCUCAAAAUCAAGAUUCAUAGUCAUGGACUCUGCCCUUCCCUGGA
rnacentral:lncRNA from 1 species